rnacentral:lncRNA from 1 species
CAGAAUUAAAAAGUGAAAGUACAUAUUAAAGAUUGAUCAAUAGAACUCUUGUACUUUAAACACACGAAUUGAAACCAAACUGUGUAUACGAUUUAGCUUUAGUCAAUUGGAUCAAAUUGGUUUUCUGGAUACGGGCCGAGUGGUGCAAAUGAGGCCCAGUUAGCUUCACGAUCAUCUGCUAUGCGUUUUGACGAUCACACUCUUGUGUGAUUCUUAGGUCACGAGAAAGUAAGAGAUUCCCUCUACAACUGCUACCGUGCGUCUUUCUUCCUCUCAAACUUAAAACCUGCAAAAGUACCAAACUAUUAGCAACAAGAUCUGAGAAAUACACAUAGAUCCAAGCUUAAUCUGACCUUAAUAUGCUACACAAACACACAUAAGAACAUCAAUCGAGACUCUCCCAUAUAAACGAAGUCAAAGAAAAUCAAGCGAAGGUAUCAAGCUCUCGUGGGAUUCCAAACUCGAAACUAAUUUGAUACUCGAUUCAAUUAAAGUAUUGGAUAAAAAAAUUUCAGGCCACACAAAGAAGACUUGUUAGCCAAAUUCCCAAUGAAAUGCUAAAUUACAUACAAUUCGACACUGAAUCUCCAAAUCAGCAAAGAGGAAGUGGAGGAGAACUCACGCGAAGGCUCGAACAAAAGAUUUGCCCUUUCCAUCGCCGCAAGCCACUUCUUAAUUCCUUGAUCAGAUCUCUUCUAUCUGCAACAAAUCCCUACUAUUUUAAGAAUCCAGAAAUCUAGAGUGAUAGAGAGAGAAGAUAUGGUGAAAAGAAACCUUGACAUAUUCUGAGAGAACGGUGAGUUGAGUCGGCUUUCUUCAUCGACAUGGAGGAUUUGAGUCAAUCAUGAGAAAAAUGUGAGUUGAGUCUGUAGGAAUAUUGUCGGAGCUCGAGUGAGAACUGUGAGUUGUCACUAAUCGAGUGAAAAAGAAUAAGAAACGAUGGGUGAGAUGAAUAAACAAAAGAGAGGAUUGAAGGAAAAUGAUAGUUGUUCGGUGAUGAGAGAUGAUUGUGAAAAAAGAGAAGGUGAAACAAGGAUCUGUAGUGUACUUGUCAUAUUGACCAUUGAUUAUCUUUUAAUCGGACGGUUUGUAUUACUUUGCUCCAUAGAUGGCAGGGAUCGAUGACGUGGCGCUGAACAAAAUACUAAGUAAAAAAUACAUAGGUUUUGGUUUUAUUUGUAAUAAAACUUUUUAUGAAAUGGAAAAUAUUAUGAUCAUAAUACUUUUU